UCCGUAGGUGAACCUGCGGAAGGAUCAUUACCGAGUGAGGGCCCUCUGGGUCCAACCUCCCACCCGUGUUUAUUUUACCUUGUUGCUUCGGCGGGCCCGCCUUAACUGGCCGCCGGGGGGCUUACGCCCCCGGGCCCGCGCCCGCCGAAGACACCCUCGAACUCUGUCUGAAGAUUGUAGUCUGAGUGAAAAUAUAAAUUAUUUAAAACUUUCAACAACGGAUCUCUUGGUUCCGGCAUCGAUGAAGAACGCAGCGAAAUGCGAUACGUAAUGUGAAUUGCAAAUUCAGUGAAUCAUCGAGUCUUUGAACGCACAUUGCGCCCCCUGGUAUUCCGGGGGGCAUGCCUGUCCGAGCGUCAUUUCUGCCCUCAAGCACGGCUUGUGUGUUGGGCCCCGUCCUCCGAUCCCGGGGGACGGGCCCGAAAGGCAGCGGCGGCACCGCGUCCGGUCCUCGAGCGUAUGGGGCUUUGUCACCCGCUCUGUAGGCCCGGCCGGCGCUUGCCGAUCAACCCAAAUUUUUAUCCAGGUUGACCUCGGAUCAGGUAGGGAUACCCGCUGAACUUAAGCAUAUCAAUAAGCGGAGGA
rnacentral:rRNA from 5 species